GAUGAACGCUGGCGGCGUGCCUAAUACAUGCAAGUCGGGCGAACAGACGAGGAGCUUGCUCCUCUGACGUUAGCGGCGGACGGGUGAGUAACACGUGGAUAACCUACCUAUAAGACUGGGAUAACUUCGGGAAACCGGAGCUAAUACCGGAUAAUAUAUUGAACCGCAUGGUUCAAUAGUGAAAGACGGUUUUGCUGUCACUUAUAGAUGGAUCCGCGCCGCAUUAGCUAGUUGGUAAGGUAACGGCUUACCAAGGCAACGAUGCGUAGCCGACCUGAGAGGGUGAUCGGCCACACUGGAACUGAGACACGGUCCGGACUCCUACGGGAGGCAGCAGUAGGGAAUCUUCCGCAAUGGGCGAAAGCCUGACGGAGCAACGCCGCGUGAGUGAUGAAGGUCUUCGGAUCGUAAAACUCUGUUAUUAGGGAAGAACAAAUGUGUAAGUAACUAUGCACGUCUUGACGGUACCUAAUCAGAAAGCCACGGCUAACUACGUG
rnacentral:rRNA from 1 species